CCUACGGGUGGCAGCAGUGAGGAAUAUUGGUCAAUGGGCGCGAGCCUGAACCAGCCAAGUAGCGUGAAGGAUGAAUGCCCUACGGGUUGUAAACUUCUUUUAUCAAGGAAUAAAGUGAGGCACGCGUGCCUUUUUGUAUGUACUUUAUGAAUAAGGAUCGGCUAACUCCGUGCCAGCAGCCGCGGUAAUACGGAGGAUACGGGCGUUAUCCGGCUUUAUUGGGUUUAAGGGGGGAGGAGGUGGAUUGUUAAGUGAGUUGGGAAAGUUUGCGGCUCAACCUUAAAAUUGCAGUUGAUACUGGCAUCCUUGAGUUCAGUAGAGGUAGGCGGAAUGCGUGGUGUAGCGGUGAAAUGCUUAGAUAUCACGAAGAACUCCGAUUGCGAAGGCAGCCUGCUGGACUGUAACUGACGCUGAUGCUCGAAAGUGUGGGUAUCAAACAGGAUUAGAUACCCGUGUAGUC
rnacentral:rRNA from 1 species